CCUUCACUGCAAUCAUUCCCAGCAGAAAGAAGCAGGAGGCAAUUUGGGCAGGUAUGCUCAGGGUACUUUGACUCUGCCUUCAGCUAGUCUGGUCUGCAGGAGGCUCGGAGGGAAGAAUUUAUCUGGAAGUGUCACGGCCUGUACAACGAUGGUAUCUGUGCGAUUAAACUCAUCGUGGUUACGGCAGAAAGGGACAACGGCUACCAGAAGCAAAGUGUUGAAGUUCUGACAGAAAAGACCCUGUGCCCGGUGCUAACAGGUGCUCAGACUCUAUGCAGAACUCAUUCUGGCAAAGUUAGUUACUUCAUCAGUGCACAGGUCUGUGGAAGAAUAAAGGCAGGCACAUUAAAUAUAUCACUGCUACGCAAAUAAUGGGUAACCGGGUAAGGGACAGGGAGCCGCAUGCCCUGAACCCUCCUGGCGCUGCCUCAUAUCUUGAUUUUCAGUCUUCAUAAAAUGGAUGUUAAAACUCUUACAUCACAUAGAGGCAACGAGACUUGGUUCAGUUUGGGGCUGACUUCUGUUCCCUGCUCUCGGGCCUGACGGCUCAACAAGGCGUGUUGCUAUUUUCCCACUCAUUUGGAGUUUUAUCAGAAACCAAGUGGAAAACAAUCCCCAUAUCUGAAACCUGGAGACAAACGUCUCUGCAAGCCAAGGUGACUGGAACUAUGAUUUACAAGGGGAACUGCGUUCAGCAGAGACUCCAGCACUACUGUAGCAGAAGGCUGAACGUUAAAGCUAUAGUGAUGCGUUUGUGAUAUCACAAUCAGAGCUGUGACAUAAUCCGGUGCCAUGAGCCAGCUGCCCCCUCGAGCCGACACAAUGACGGAAGGACGAACUCUUGUCUAACAGCAGCAGAGAAAAUGAAACUACAACUCGCACCAACAUAAGUCUGUAAAAACGAGACCCGCGCUGAGGGACAGUCUGCUUUCAACAUAAUGGAAUGAGGAUGGAGCUUGCAGACAAAGUAAUGGACCCACAUCGUAUGUCUAGAUGGCAUUACAGGCUUGAGCUGUGUGACCUCUUUGCUGGGGCAUCUGUGCCAUUUCACCUGGAAACGUCACAACGGGGAUAUUCAGGGGGUCAACUGGGUGCUUUUGUGACUUUUUUAACAAAACUCACAUUGGCGGGGUGCACGAAUCGGGGCAGAAUUCUGCUUGGUUUGUUCACACACGGGAUUAACUCAUUCCUCGCAUGAAAUGUAUGCUAACAAUGAUCUCUGGACUUCUUCGGUGGUGGGGAAAGAAAGGAAAAGGUAGAAUUUAAUUAUUCAAUAAAAAAGGAU